rnacentral:rRNA from 1 species
UAGGGAAUCUUCCGCAAUGGGCGAAAGCCUGACGGAGCAACGCCGCGUGAGUGAUGAAGGUCUUCGGAUCGUAAAACUCUGUUAUUAGGGAAGAACAAAUGUGUAAGUAACUAUGCACGUCUUGACGGUACCUAAUCAGAAAGCCACGGCUAACUACGUGCCAGCAGCCGCGGUAAUACGUAGGUGGCAAGCGUUAUCCGGAAUUAUUGGGCGUAAAGCGCGCGUAGGCGGUUUUUUAAGUCUGAUGUGAAAGCCCACGGUUCAACCGUGGAGGGUCAUUGGAAACUGGAAAACUUGAGUGCAGAAGAGGAAAGUGGAAUUCCAUGUGUAGCGGUGAAAUGCGCAGAGAUAUGGAGGAACACCAGUGGCGAAGGCGACUUUCUGGUCUGUAACUGACGCUGAUGUGCGAAAGCGUGGGGAUCAAACAGG